rnacentral:lncRNA from 1 species
GGCGGGGGGCCCGGCCGGAGCAAGAGGGAGGCUCAGCGCCGGCUCCACCAACCAGGGCCCGCUCGCCCGUCCGCUUCACCAGGAUUGGCGAGCGUCUCAGCCAAUGGAGAAGCGACAAGAGCGGCGGAGCGUCGGCGCCGAGGGGCGGGGGAUUGCGGAGGAGGUGGCUCCCACCCUUGGUCCUCCGCCGCCGGGUCGCGAUGAGGCUUUGACCCGGCUCCCUUUCAGAGCGAAGGGACGUGUGAUAGCUAUCCACACCUGUUCCAGCUGUAACAGCAACUAAAAGUAACCCCGCCUUAUAUGAACUGCUGCUACACUGAGUUUGGCAUCCACUAUUAGCCCUUAAUCAUACUGUCCUGAGGUGUUUGGGAUUGUAUCAUGUAGGCCAGUCUUAGCUCUCUAAUUAGAUGACUGCACUUGGUGAUUGAUUAGGUCAUUCCUUUCACCGCCUCAAGGAAAUCUGUUUGAAGUCAGUAUUUAACGAACAACACAGAAGCAUUACGUGGAAAUGACAGAACCAAAACUUAUGAAGCAUUGUCAUUAAAGUUCACUGUACACUUGCUAUUAAACAAACACAAAUAGGGUAUAGGAUGGUCCGAUGUGUUACAAUAAGGAAUUUUUUUUUAAACCAAACCCUAUAACCUGAUGUCACUGA